UACGUAGGUGGCAAGCGUUGUCCGGAUUUAUUGGGCUUAAAGGGCGCGUAGGCGGCCCUGUAAGUCAGUGGUGAAAUCUCUCAGCUUAACUGAGAGGGUGCCAUUGAUACUGCAGGGCUUGAGUACAGAUGAGGUAGGCGGAAUUGACGGUGUAGCGGUGAAAUGCAUAGAUAUCGUCAAGAACACCGAUAGCGAAGGCAGCUUACCAAGCUGUAACUGACACUGAGGCACGAAAGUGUGGGGAUCAAACAGG
rnacentral:rRNA from 1 species